rnacentral:rRNA from 1 species
AUUGAACGCUGGCGGCAGGCUUAACACAUGCAAGUCGAGCGGAGAGAGGUAGCUUGCUACUGAUCUUAGCGGCGGACGGGUGAGUAAUGCUUAGGAAUCUGCCUAUUAGUGGGGGACAACAUUUCGAAAGGAAUGCUAAUACCGCAUACGUCCUACGGGAGAAAGCAGGGGAUCUUCGGACCUUGCGCUAAUAGAUGAGCCUAAGUCAGAUUAGCUAGUUGGUGGGGUAAAGGCCUACCAAGGCGACGAUCUGUAGCGGGUCUGAGAGGAUGAUCCGCCACACUGGGACUGAGACACGGCCCAGACUCCUACGGGAGGAAGCAGUGGGGAAUAUUGGACAAUGGGCGGAAGCCUGAUCCAGCCAUGCCGCGUGUGUGAAGAAGGCCUUAUGGUUGUAAAGCACUUUAAGCGAGGAGGAGGCUACUUUAGUUAAUACCUAGAGAUAGUGGACGUUACUCGCAGAAUAAGCACCGGCUAACUCUGUGCCAGCAGCCGCCGUAAGAC